GUGGCAGGUGGUGGGGGGUGGGGGCAAAUGGAGCUGCAGUUUAUGGAUUCUGGGGAUGGCUGGUGCUCAUGAUGCUCAUCCAAAGAAGCAGCUUGCCGAUUGUUCUGCAGAAUCUUCUAGACACUGGAAGUUGGUGAUGUCAUCAAUGAUUUCAGGCUCCUCCCUGCAGCCUUUCCAAUAAUCUGAAGAGUCUUCAACAGUUAUACAGGACCUGGUGCAAGAUUUCAGAGUUGCAGAACUAUUGGGUAGCAGUGACCAUAGUGUGACCCAAUUCAGCUUAUAUGCAAGUGGAGAAUUGUCAAGGUAGUCCAACACAGAUGAAGAAGGCUGGCGGGGGGAGAGGGAACCCACAUGGACACACACACACCACCGUGGCUUCACCAAGCCCCCCAAAGGAGCUACAGGCUGCAUUACUCUUCCUUCCAUCCUGCUUUCUAUAGGAUGAAACAAUUGCCUUGUUUACUCCCGCAAGCAGUGGGGAAGCUGACAAGAUGGAGAGGAGCUGGGUGACAGAAACAGCAGUUAUAUCUUCUUUCACAGCUACACAGAUGUUAAAGAAACAGACACAAUCCAGUUUGUAAACUGGCAAACAGAUCUACAUACCCAUUUAUACUCACAUAGAUCCAUGAAAGUUCCAGAUGAGACAGCAUAUCCUCAGUUUUCAUCAAGCCAAGAAGGCACUCACAUGACAUGGGAAUAAAUAUCGUCCCCGGGAGCCCACUGGACCAACAACCCACGUCUCUGCUGAUCGUCAAAUCUUUGGCAACCCCUGCCUUAAAUAAAGCCCUACAUUUAGGACCCCCCCAUCCAGGUUGCUCCUUCUCCCUUGGCCAGGCAAGUGGAUUGGCCACCCAAUCUCUGACCUCCCAAGGGGCCUUUCCCUCUAACUCCACCCUCCUGGCUAGCACUUCUAUUCAGGACUGUGACUGUGGGGCAGACGUCAUCCUUAUUCCGUCACCACCUCUCUGCUGCCUCUUGGGCUGCGGCAGCCCACCCCCCACCCCCCAGCAGCCAUUACCCACCUCUCCAAGCCUUUCCUAUCUUCUGGGAGGGAAUUGCUGGGGUUGUCCUGGCAACCGGAGCCUCCUGCCUCUCUCGGCACAUCACUGUUUGACCGGGUAAACAACCCUGUUUCAUGGAGGAGGGUGGGGAAGCCCAACAGCAGGUUUAUCUUAUGAGAGUUUUCCCUGUGUAGUUCAGUCCAAUUUUUUAUUUGGACUGAAUUUAUUCAUUUUAUUUAUUUAUUUAUAUUAAUAAUAUUAAUUUAUUUUCAUAAUCUUUCACUGUUCAGUCCUGGAAAGCCUAGUGUUAGCAACAAAAUAUAGAGGGGUUUGUUCGUUGCUUUGGUUUUGGUUUUUUUAAGCACCUUGGAAGAAACAUCUCCAGUCUGGAUAACCAGCACUGGGAUUCUAAAUGUCAUCACACAGGUAUAUAAAAUAAGUUAAAUAAGCAAAUUAAAAUCUUAAUCUAUUCAACAAUUAUAAAGAAUUAAGAAAAUGAGCUAAAACUAUGCUUUUCGUUUGGUUGGUGUGCUCAUUUGGUAUGCCCAUAAGGAUUACAACAGACCUCUCUGUGAGACAAUUUCCAUGGUGGGAGGAGUUGCCCACACUCUAGUUAGAUAUCUUGUUAUUUAUUGCACUGUUGCAGAUCCUUGCUAAUAGUUGUUAAAGUGUGACCCUAGUUUAAUUCCA